GCCGAGAGGGGGCGGGGCGAGCCCGUCUGCUGGGGGCGGAUCCCCGGGCCCCAAGCGCGGGCGCUGCGGGCUGUUUCGGGCGGCGGAGGCCGUCCGCAUCCUGCCGUGGUCUGUUUAUUGAACUGCACCCUACGUAGCACCGUAAGACCAACAUGGCUUAUCUUCCUCGCCCUUCUCCCGUCACUCCAAUUAGGCAUUUCCAUAAAUACGCAUCGCUAUAUUGAAUUGGAUAAACUUGGGCUGGUGCUCGGCUCCAGAACCUCACUGUCCCACAUCCCACCCAGACAGCCGUUCUGGCACGCCGCGAUGGAGGCAGCGCCCCCCAACCCGCCAUGCGGAGAUUUAAAUUACCACUGAGAAAAGAGAAGGCGGCCGCAAUGAGCAAGGCGACGAUCUGUUCGUCCCCAUAACGGAGCACGAGGCAAGACGUCAUCAGUUUAAAGCGCUGUGAGAAAAACCAAGGGCAGGUAUUAAGCAAAUUCAAUUGAUAAAGACGCUAUGGCAGUAAUGUGAGGAUGGGUGCGGAGUCUUCAUUAGCUGAGGGUUUAAAGGUAGCUUAAAUUACGUGUUUUAUGUGCAGCCACUCCCCUGUUUAACCAAGAGGGUGAGCCAAGUGCUCUGGUACUCUCCCGAUUUUUUUCUCUAAACAAUUCACGCUCUCAUUUAAAUUUAAUCUCCGUUCAGCUCCACAGAAAUGAUGGAGGAGCUGUCUUUCUCCAGGCUGCUCUCAGAAAAUAGAAACGAACUAGAUCCUCAAAUUGCUUGCCAUAUUCUUACCCUAUCUUCAUUUAGCUCCUCUCCAUAAAGGAGUCAUUCAAGAGGAAUUACGUUCCCUUGGAAUGAAUAGUUCCUGUUCCAAUGCAUGCUUUAGCCUAUUGCAUAGCACAAUUAUACAAAAUAGGAUACCUGUCUUCCUGUGGGCCCUCCUGCCCAACUUUCUCUCAUCCCAACGCACAAAUACCUUUGACAUUAGCUACUUUCUUUCUUUUAACUAGUAAAUGCUGGAGGAGAGAUGGAAAAGAGUUAGCAGCUGUGUGUGCAGAAAACAUCCCGACUGUCACUAAAGACUUGGAGAAACAGGAGUCUCAGAGACCUUAAUGAAAACUCGUUUCGGGCUGCUUCAUGCAACAGUUACUGGAUGCCAUCUCAGUUGUAUUUUAUUUGGUGAAAACACAUUUGGAAUGUCUGGAAGUUUCUUUGCAAAAGUUAGGAACAGAUACUUUCAGGAAGCCUGUUAAAGUGGCUGUGCCAAAUUGGAUGAAAGACCACUCCAGCUACACAAUCUUUCACCGUUAGCAAAUACCACAGUAAAACCUCUGUUAUCUUUCCAAGUGUCCUAUCACUUGCAGUACGGGUUCUUCUAAGACAUACCUGUAUUUAAGAGCAGCUUUGUAACACAUUUGUUGAGGUAGCAGGCAGGCUUCCUGUGUAGUGGGUACACCUGGGGUGUUCACAUUGCUUGAAUUUGCAUCCUUCCAAACUCAGCACUGAAAGCUGUUACUGCUGAUCUGAAUGGACACGGUGAAAAAAAAAUCACACUUCUUUGCAGACACUGAGGAUUCCAGUGAUAUUACCAACAGCAGUGAUUUUUAGAAGGAAUGGUUAACACACCAUUCAAAGGAUUUAUCUUGUGAGAUUGGGCAGGCUGCAGCCUUGGGUAACACAAACAAGGACUAUGUGUUUAUGACUGCCAGGCAAGCCUGGAGCCCACUGAAAGCUGAACAUGCAGAGCUGUCUUCAUCUUCCUGAAAUGAAGCUGUCUGCAGAAAGGAGCAUUAGCUCUUAAUAAGCUCCAAAUCUUAUAAAAUCUAAAUUAGAUGCUGUCGCUUACUUGGAAGUGUGCAGUCUAGGAUAACUAUCUACUUCAGAUCCCCCUUGACUGGUUUCUGGUACACACAUCCCUUCUGUGCUCUCAUUUCUGCUGAUUUGUGAAGAUGCCUGAAACUGCAGAUUUCUCCAGUAGGAAUAUGGAUUAAAAGCAGUGCUAUUAAUGGUAAAGUGCAAAUGCAUUUAGUAACAAAGCCUGAUAAAAGUAAAUAGUGAACACAUCAAGUAGUUAAUUUCUACUUGAGUAACUUGCUUUUAAGGUAUAUUUUAGCAAAAUUCAAAUACAAUUAAAAUGCAGGAGAUAACUUUAGUAAACUGACACAAUUUCACUAUUUCUAAACUUUGAACAUGUUUUGCAUUUUAAACCAAUUAAAACUAUCAAUAUGAAAUUCACCUCAUUCUUAACUGUGUAGCCCCUUAAGAUUUCAGAGUUCACUAAGUGGCUUGUUUACAUUUCUUAUUACAAAGCGUCAGUUUCAGGUUCAUUUUUCAGAUAUAAGUAUUUGUAUUAAAAACCUACAUACUGGAUUCUAAAAGAAAUCAGUGAGGUUAUGCAGGUUGACUUGUUAGCUAUGUGAAUGGAAGAAAAUAUACACAAAGUCAUUAAUUAAAACUUGACACUUUUCUUUGUUGUAUCCAUCCCAGAGGGGACAAUUUCCUGCUAUAAUGAUCAGCGACAAUCAGCAUAAGCACUAAGGAAAUACCUUAAUUUCCCAGUGGAUGUACAUGUGAAUAAACAUGGCUUUUUCUAUGAUCAACUCUUUGAGGAAACAGAGAAGGAUGCAUCUCCUUUACAAAGGAAAAAGUAUUGCUGCUCUGAAUCACUGUAGAAAAAUAAAACAUUUUAUGUCUAAAUGAAGUGCUACACCAAGUGUAUCAGCAACCGUUAUGGUCAACCGUAAUGGAUUUAAAAAGAAAGAUUUAAGACAUCAGACUUUAAAAGGGAAAAACAGAUUUAUUUCAUGCAGUUUACAAUAGGCUAGUGUUAUGAAAAGGAGGUUAAAAAAAUACCCACACACAUUUGUAAUCGUAUCUUUGUUUUAAAAAUGAUGGCUAACUAUACCGACUUCAAAUGUCUUGGGAAGCCCUAGCAGAUUUUUUAUCCAGGGAAACUCCCUGGAUUCAAUUUUUUGUCCAUGUCUGUGCUAAGAGUUCUGGCUAAUGCAAAGGCAUUAAAACCAAAUCAAAACUCAAACUUUGCUGCAGUAAGAACACUUCAGAGAUAACGAAUUGGCACAAAAUAAAGUGUUAUUGCUAAUCCACUAUCCAGGAAAUAACAUGUUGCAAGUAUGGCCACUUGGAUAUUAACACAAACAGCUGAUGCACAACUAAGUGUGAGACAGGUGCUUUAAAACCAACAAAACCAACCUGCUGAAUUGGGUAUGUGGGCCUAGACAGACUGUAGGAAAUGGAUUCAGGGAUUUUUUUCACAGCGAGGCUCAGAUGAGGCUCAGGACAGAAGCAGGCUGAAAUAGUUGCCAUUUGGUACUUGUUCAGUUUGGUGCUCUUGGUUCAGUUCCAAGCAGAUAGGUUGGCAACAUGUUUUUUUUGACAGUGUCUUGGCACUUGCUUUUCUCCUAGCAAGAACGCGUGGGCCAACUUCAAUUUGAAUAAUGUUGUGCAUGAGCUUUUGUAAAAUCUUCAAAAGGAACAAGAAUCAUGUACACAGAUAUUUCAACUCUUACAUUUCAUACGGAUUGAUUGGGCCUGGACAUCUCAGUAGGUGUUAGGUUGGGUCAAACCCUAGGCUCAGCAUUCCGAAGCAAGGAGAACUUGCAGAACCUUCUCCUGCCUCAGCCAUCCCCAAAGGAUCAAAAUAACUAUCAAUAAAUUGUUUUAAUUAUAGUAAUUACUUAUACACAACAUCCUGAAGAGAACCCUGGAAAGAACCCAGAAAGCUCUGUUUGCAGCAGUAUUUAUUUACUGAGCUUUCCAGAAGUUUAUACCUUGGUAGAUCUUACAACAGUGAAGGACAGCUAAGUUGCAAUGAAAUAUUCAGCAUCAAUUUCCUGGCACAGAAUCUUCCUCAAAGUCUCUCUGUUGGCAGUUCUGUUCACAACAGCUGUUAGAUUUCAACAUGGGCAAUAAUAAAGUGGUGGGCAAAUGUGCUGUCAUCUCUACUGUACUCCUUACCAAGCUGGAUACUGAAAUUCCAAACAAGAUAUGAACGCAAUUAUAUCUGCAAUUGGUUAUAUCUGCAAUUUCUAUAAAUGAUUUCAGAGUUUGAGUUAGAAAAACAAACUAGCUGCUUUUUAGAAGUUAUUUAUGUCUCUAGAACCUCAAAUUAGCCCUGGACAGUAUUUUAGCCCUUAGGAUUUCUGCAGUGAAAAUGAAGAGUUCCUUCUUUUACACAAACUGAACAAUAAAAUAAGACCUAUUUAGCCCUUUAAAGCCUCAGUCCACUAAGAAGCCUUUAAAGACAGCUCCUGAUUGUUGUGAGCCAAAAGAAAGAAAAAUUAUAUUACACUGAGUCCAGGCAGCUUUCUACACUUUUUUUAAAAACUGAAUAUUCAUCCUAUUUUAAGAAUCAGUAAUCCUACUCACAAACCCAGGUAGAAUCCUGAGAUUGUCCUUAAAGCUGCAAAUAACUGCAGUCUAAAGUAUAGUGAAGCAAACAGACAGCUUCCUCAAAAUGGCUGUGUUAGGAAAGACACUUCACCAGAGACCCCUGGAAGUUUUAAUCCCACUGUCCUGAGAUAACAAGUACUGCUAAAGGCAAAGCAAAAUCCCAUCUCUGUUUCAAGGACCCCAACUGUAGGGUUGAUUGAAGAAGUUAAUUUAAAAACUCGACAGAGAUUGUUGAUGCUGAGAGAGAGAUUAAAAUAGGAGAACGACACUUUCUUGUUUUACAAAGUGAACAAAAUGCCAAGUUUCGUCUCCAGACUCUCUUUUUUCCCUUGGCCUUAAUCCCAAAGAAAAGCCCAGUUCUUAGCAGUUCUCUCAAUACAUCUCAAGGAACAUAUUCCAGCAUACCUGAACAACUGGACAACACACAUUAUAAUACAUUUCCUAGAUAACUGCAUUCACUCACACAUUCCUGCACUCCAAGUUCAUUUUUAUAAUACUAAUGAAACAGUAAUUUGUAAAUGGUAUGAGUUUGUUACUGCUCAAAAAGAGACCGAAACUUCCAGCAUCCUCAACAGAUGUUCACGGAAUGCAGCGUUCUGUUCUGAGAAAUAGUUUUCUGAAAAUAUCAUCAUCCCACUCAACAGACCUGCUCCCCGAGCAAGUGCAUGUUCUUUUGUUUAAUCUGUGAGAAUUUAUUUUUUUU